rnacentral:rRNA from 1 species
CAAUAGCGUAUAUUAAAGUUGUUGCGGUUAAAAAGCUCGUAGUUGGAGUUCUGCCAGGUGCCGCCUGUCCGCCCCAGUGGUGAGUACGUGGCGCGCAUUUGGCCCUUUCAAGGGGAGCGUAUCUGCACUUUAUUGUGUGGUGCGGGAUCCUUGACUUUUACUUUGAGGAAAUAGGAGUGUUCCAAGCAGGCUCUCGUCGUGCACAGCUCAGCAUGGAAUAAUAGCAUUGGACCUCGAUUCUAAGCUGUUGGUUGCCAGAAGCGAGGUAAUGAUGAAGAGGGAUAGUUGGGGGCAUUCGUAUUUAACUGUCAAAGGUGAAAUUCUUGGAUUUGUUAAAGACGGACUACUGCGAAAGCAUCUGCCAUGGAUGUUUUCAUUGA